rnacentral:snoRNA from 1 species
CCUCUGUAGUCGAAGAGAUGCCCUUGGUUGGUGGUACUCUGGGCAUACCAGGCUUGCAGAGAGAGCACUGGUGCGAGGAAGCCGAGGCAUGCCUGUUAGAGCAGCAGCAGCCACAUGCGCAAUGUUCCUCUCACAGUUACAAUCCUGUUGCCACGGAGAUAAUGACUUAUCCCAUGUCAUUAUUGAUCUGUCAACAGUAAGAGCAAUUUUGCAGUCUGAUAUUGUUCAGCAAAUAGAGUUGACGUCUGCUGAACACUUAAAAGCUGCUAUAAAU